rnacentral:lncRNA from 1 species
AGCAAAAGUGAUCACAAGAACAGUUACCAAUGUUGGAUCUCUUAAUGCUACAUACAUUGCAAAGGUACAUGCACCUGAAGGAUUGGUUGUUAAGGUCAUCCCCAACAAACUUGUGUUUUCAGAGAGUGUUCAAAGAAUUACCUAUAAAGUCUCGUUCUCGGGAAACAAGGCUCGCGGUGGAUACAAUUUUGGGUCUCUAACAUGGCUUGAUCGUCGACACUAUGUUCAUACAGUAUUUGCAGUCCAAGUUGAAUAAAUAUGGCCUGAUUGUGUUUUUUUCUUUGUUUUUGCAUUACUUUAUUGUGUAUGUGAAUGUGCUUGGUACAUUAAUGAGACAACAAUAACAUGCUUGUAUUUUUAACAAAGCUUCCAACCUUUGUUCUACCAUAUUGUCAAUGGACUUUCAAUUACAAAUAUGAGAGAUUCUACCUUUUCCAAGUGUACAAUGGAGUAAUUUUAAGCAAUUAUUAGAAAAUAAAUAUAGAAGAUCCUAUUCUUAUUUACACAAUACAAAUUUUCAGAAUCAUAAGUGUAAUUGAAUCCUUAAUAAUUUAGCUUAGCUUGAAACUUAAAUUUCUAAAACCCAAGUAUAUGUAUUCCAUCUAUGAAGCACGGAUACUUCAAAAUAACACGGAUAUAUAUAUAUAAUUAAUUAAAAGUGAUUUUUUAAUUAAAAAAGUUCCAAAACAAACAGACCUAUAUCCUCUUUUUUUUUUGUUUACAAAGUCCUGCAGUCUAUCCUUAUAUCCUGCUAAAAUCAAAUAUAGCUCCUUUUCUUUUGGAAUAGGAAAGAAAAAUACAGAGAUAAAUUCAAAUUAAUUACAAAACAAGCUCAAAGAAAAUCAGGAAAUGAUAUAAUUAGCUUCCAUAUCUGAUUGCGAGGAACGAAGGACUUACUUUUUGACAAGCGUUUUGAGCUUCUGAUCAUUUGUAAAAUCAAAUAUAUCAAGUAUGAAUAAUAUGUUCUACAUUGGAUUGGAUAAAAAAGUGAAUGUUUGUUAAUUUAGAAAAGUUAAUGUAGAUCAUUUUAUAAGUGGAACGCCCAUAAAUAAUGUUUCAUGGACACCUUUUUUUCAAUACACACAAUGUACCACCCCAUUUCAGAAUGUGUGAGAGACAAAAAAAGAUGAUUUUUUUUUUUUUUUAUGUAGAGACCACGUAGACACAUGUCACAAUUGUAUGUGGGUAUACAAGUGGUACAUGCCGUCUAAGGUGGUCUAUGUAUCACAUCCCUCUGAAUCAUUUUUUGUUUUAUUUUAAGGUUAUUUUGUAUUUGACCAAUAUGCAAGUGACUCGUUUUAGGCAAGAGUUUUGAUGUACUAUGAUUAACUAUUUAUGAUAUUGAACUCAUUUGAGUUACUCAAAACGAUUCACUUAGAUAAAACCUUACGACAUUAUAUUUAUGGGAUCUCCUUCUCAUUUACAACCCAAUACUAAUGUUAUAACUGAUCUUGUUGCAACCUUAAUAUCAUUAUCAAAAGAAAAUGUAUCAUUUCGAAAGACAUACUAAGUACUAACCAUUGUGAAACUGCUCUGCUCAUAUUCAUAUUGCUAAAUCAUUUUUAUUUUUUUAAUCAACAAAACUUUAUUAACAAUCACAAGAUGUUACUGGAACGGAGUGAAAUUACAAAAAGAGAGGGAGUCAACACGAAAAGGAUGGGUGCAAAGCUUUGAAUCAACCUCACUAUCAUCCAACCUAAAUAAUUUUCAGUGUUGUUGAUUUGCUUCCUUCUUUUAUUGGAUACUAAUGGUUCUAUGCAAUGGAUGGGUGCUUUUUUUCUGGCAAUCAAGCCAAACUUGAGUUCAUUGACUUGUUCACCAUGGUGUGGGCAGAGCAGAGGUUGAUGAUAGUGAGGUAGAAGACAAACUAAAAAAAAAAAGAUAUAGUGUAGGUAGGUCAUGAUAAAAUCAGUGCUCCACUUUAAUCUAAUGGUAAACAAGCAACGGGAAAAACUUUCCCUCUCCCACCCUAAAUGCCAAAGAACGGUGAAUAGGGAAAAAUUUAGAGAAAAAAUAAGAGCAUGUUACACAGAUAACAAAUAAGAGUAAAUUCAACGGAUAACAAAGAGAUUGGAAACCUAAAAUCAAAAUCAAUUAGGGAAGAUAGGAAAAGAACAGACAGAAGAUAAAGCCACAUGGAAUCAAGAAACUAGCAACAUUUUGAAUAAAAACUCCACUAGAAUUAAUUAAAAAUAAAAAAAUAAUUAUGUCUCCAAAAAUACAUAAUAAAUUAAUUGCUGAUCCCAAAGACAAAUUAAAUUUAACCGAAAAUCCCGUACAUUAAUAAUGUAUUUAAUGGAGAAGAUUUUAACUUGAAAACUUGGGUCACCACUUUUUUAAAUCAUUUACACAAGGGAAUGAAUACCUGCAAAACAGAGAAGUGAAGACCCAAACACGUAAUUAUUAUGUCUACUCCUCUCUUCCCCUCUUACCAUUUGCCAGCUUCAAAUCCGUCCUUUUUUAAAGCUUUCUCGAACUCUUUUUUCAGCUUCUUUUGCUUAUCACCAUACACUAUCUUCACUUCAGCAUCCUCAACAUUCAAGUUCUUGUCUUGUUCAGAAGGAAAAUCACAACUAUCAUUUUCUAUAUCUUCCAAAUCCUUUUGAAGCUUCCUCUUCUCAUAAGCUGUUUCCACAAAUGCAUGAAAAUUCCUUUUCAUUUCUUCAUCAACAAGAGGUUCCUUACCUUUCCCUUUGACGUCUACAAAACCCUUUUUAUGAUUUCAUUUUUCAAGUCAUUUUGCUUAGCUUCAUACUGUAUCUCCUCUUUCUCAUUUGCCUUUGACAUGAUAAUUUGUUUCUAAGGAGCUGCUGCUUGUGCUUGUGUGUCUGUAAGAGUGGAAGGGAGGCGAGAUUAGGGUUAGCCUUGCGCUUAUAUAUAAUAAUAAUACUCAAUCCGUAGGGUCGUUUCAGGUUUUGACAACACAAAUUAAAAAAUAAAAUAAAAUAAUCAAUAGACAUGUCAAUUUUACUCAACCACCCCUAUUUUAUGGAGUAAGAGGGCUAGCACUGCCAUAGUUUUUUGGUGUCAUAGAUAACUUUGUGUUUAUCUCUCUCUUAAUAAUUUAUUCUCUCUCAUCUAAAUAAUUUAGUUUAAUCAUUCUCUUUCAUAUAAAAUGAACCUAUAUCACCAAUGUCACCAAAAAACUAUCGCACCCAAGUAUUUCCCGAGUAAGAGAGACAAAGUUAAAGUUGGAUAGGAAAUUUUGAAAGAGAGAAAGUUGAAGUAUUUAUUUAUUAGAGUAAAGUUAAAAAAAAGUGAUAUUCAUUUGAAAUCAUUUUUUUUUUAAUAAAAUGACACUUAUUGUAAAACAGACACGGUAGUAGUAGUAAUAAUAAUAAUAAUAAUAAAAAAAAUUCUAUAUAUAUUAAAGUUAAUUUAAGUAGAUCAAAAUCACACAAUUGAAAGACAUAACACUCACUUUACAACCAGAAGUCGCCGCCUCACCACCCUUUUUUCAAACAUGUCCUCCUUCACGAUGUAACAGCACGCAAUGGUGGUGUGAAGAGCAGUGUCCUCCCUCCGCACCACCCUUUGUCUGGUUCUUACGGUGUUCUGUGUCGUUGGUUUUUUUAUUCAACCAGUACCGCAUCUACUACGGGUGGUGGUUUCUAGGUUGUUGGUGUUCGUAAAUCGUUGGUUGUGAUCGGUGAUUCUGUUUUGGUUAUGUGUGUUGGCUUCUCAGCGGCAGGUAAGCCGCUGUCGUGAACAUCUAGAUCUUCGUCGCCCCCACUCUCUUUGAUGUUGGUGGUUGAUUUGGGUGUAGAACCCCUCAUGGGUCUGGUUCCUUGAUCGUUUUAAUUGGUCGAUUUUUGGUCGUCGUCACAUCAGCUUCAAACAACCUUUAAGGGUCUGAAGACGUGUCUGGUGUUUUGACGCUUCUUGUUGGUUCCAGUGGGGGGUUGUUCAUCACCAUCAGGCUCUGCAUUGGUUUGGUUGAAACCCGAAAGUGUAUGUUCGUUAUCCUCUAUCUCACCGUUGUUUUGUGUAAUACCGCACGGGUCCUUCUGAGAAGAAUUUAAACGAAUAAGUUGCAAUAAUGUAAAUAUAUAUAGUUAAUAGAAGUCAUAUAAAACCUAAAAAACAUGUUCACUUAUACGAUAACCAUAACAACAAAAAUAGAUGAUAGAAUACACAUGAAAAAGGGUUGAACUUUAAUCAUCAAGAUAUAUUACGAUUAGUAUUUUAAACCUUGUUUUGAAGUGACUCUUGAAAUUGCAACUACAACUGACCAUGCAAAAACACAGGAUUUGACAAAUAAAUUCCAACAUUUUUAAGUGAUUGCCCCUGACUCUUGUUGAUUGUCAUGGCAAAUGAAACAAAUAUUGAAAAUUGUCUUCUUUAAAAGUUGAAAGGAAUUUUAAUAUCAGACGGUGAAAGAAAUAACUUGGGUAUGAAAUUUUUUUUGCUUUAAACAACCACAUAUUUUAUUGAUAUUAACUAAAAUUUGAAGUAAAAUUAGAUGUCCUUUUUUCAGUUUACAAUAGGAUCCCUUUAAACAACCACUUAUAGGUGCUAUGGUACCCAUGUACUUUUUUGGAUGAUGACUAAACCAAUUGUUAGAGAUUCCACAUUGAGGCUUAAAGGAAGUUAUUCAAUUAAUAGCUUAGAACUACUACAGAGGGUGAUUGAUUUCCAUAUAGACACACAUUUUUAAUUGACUUUAUAACAAAACAUAAACAAAGAUUAUCAAAUGAGAACUAAUAUACUAAAAGAACAAAUGAAAUACACACUUCACUUUUGGAACAAAAGAUAUAUCCUGCUGCUAUGCGAUUUGUUCAUGAACCUAAGGGAAGUACUAUGCAUGCCGGAGGAUUAUAUAAUCCAGAAGAAUAAUUAUUUAUAUAUAAGUUUAAAGAUACGUAUUAAGUUUAGAGAUAUAUACAAAGAAUUUCCCAUUUUUACCAUUAAACAAUAGAAUUUCCCAUUUCAGAAUCUCAACAAUAAUAAUGUGGAGUGGCUUAAACUUUCUAUUUUUUGGUCAUUGCUACUAUCUUUCUUCCAUUGAGAAUCAUGCUAUGAGUAUCCUAUAAAUUCUCUUUCUGAAAUGCUACAAUAUGAAUCUGUCAAUGUGAAAAAAAUAAAUUAAUACCGGUAAAAGAGAAACAGCUUUAACUUAUAAGAAACAAUAAUACAAUGAUUAUUAAUGAUACAUGUACACAUCUCAUAUUCCCUAACACUUAUUCAACACCCUAUUUUAUCUUUAUGAUCAAAAGUUUAUGCAUAAAAAAAAAAAAAACAACAAAAGGUUCAUAUUCAUCCAAUCGAACACACUUAAGCUUUUUUUUGCAAAAAAAAAAAAAAAAGAUAAAGAUUCAUAUAUUUCAAAUGAGGAUUUGUGCUAUUACAUAUAGUUUUUUGGCUCCCUAAUUCCAUUAUAUUGGGGAUAAAAUAUUGUGGAAUAUACAAAGAACUUAGAUAUCAAGGACUAAAGCUAAUAUUAUUUCAAAAAUAAAAAGGCUAAAACUAAUAUGCAAAAUGGAGUUAUAUAUGCCCUUCUCAAUGUCAGAGUCAUGAGUAAUCACUCUAUUUAUAGUUUGAUGGGAUAAAUCGUAGAGGAGGGAAUAUGGAUGAAUAUUAAAGACAAUACACGCUUGAAUCUGCAAUAGUGAAGAGGGACAACAUCAAUGUACGUAAUUGUAGCCCAAACCAUGUUGUCGAUGAAGAACAGUCCUAAAUUCACUAUUCCAAUUCAAAGCAAAUUAAGAAAACAAUUUGUACCUUGAACGAAAUCAAUAAUCCAUUUUAACCAUUCAAGGUCAACAAUUGAAGAUAAACCAACUAUCUUCAAAAGAAAAGGAAUUGCACAUGAAUAAAAAUGAUGAGAGAAAAUUACCUCAACGACAAAAUAUUCAAGACGAUGGCGAGGUAAACAUGAGGAGCGUAGCUGGUACAACCUUAAGAAACUGAGUGAUAGAGAAAACAGGAAAUUAAAGAUCAUCAUUGCUGCUCCUUGAGUAGGCGUUCUAGCGCCCUGCAUAAAAAGAGAAUAACAAAUUGUUACCACAUUGAUUCAAGUCCAGCACAGGAAAAAAAAACGACACUGAAGCAUUCUUACAUCCCUAACAUGAAACUCAAUGCAAAUCCUUUUGUAUUGAAGUCGUAAUUCAUUCACAAUUUUGUCAAAAUCAGUGACUGGAAUUAGAUUCAAAGGAGCUGCACAAAAAAAUACCAAUCAACUGAUUAGAACUAAAUAUAUUCAAUGAAACAUGAUUAGAUUGAUUAAACAUAAAUUUUAUGGAAAUCCAUUAAGAUUAAUUGUACCACAAAUGUAUGUGCGCCACUAUUUAUACCGGGUUCAUAGACAAAAAUGAAUUUGAAUCAUGGUGACAUGUGUACACAAUGAAUUGGGGAGUUGGAGAGAAUUCUCGUGGAAUACAAAUUCACUUGCUGCAUGGAGAGAUAUGGAAGGCCACAUUAAAUGUUUAAUGGAUCAGUGGGUAGUUGGGAGGAAUGACUGAAAUUAAUGCAAGCUUGGGAGGGAAAAUGAAACGUCCUCUUAACAACGGUUGAGAUUUACUUGGGUGGUUGGUAGUUUAGCUUAGCAAUUAAUAUGGGAUUAGGAGGGAAAUUAGGGAGAGAUUAGGGCAAAGAUGGCAGCAUGGCAAGACUGGCGUUUAUAAUAAAGGAUUACUUAAUUUAAUAUCCUUAACGAGACUGCUGUUCUUGAUCUCUCCCUCUUCUCACACUACUACUUUUGCCCCACAUGUCCUCUGAAAUGUCCCACUCCCCCACUUCCCAACAUAAAACCUCCUUCUCCAAGCAACUCAACGGUGUUGCUCCCUUAUUCCCCUAUCUGGACCCUUUUUCCUAAAAGGUCAUAUUUUUGCUGAGAUGCCAAAAAGGUUCCUCCAUCCUAACCUUUUGUACCAGUGAUCUGACAUUCUGCCCUUUUGUCCUCUAUCUCCUAGGUUUCAUCUAGUAAUUUAAAGGGAAUUCAAACAUUGUACAAAAAACAAAAGAGAAUUCAAAUAAAUUAAAAACAUUUACCAAUGAGAUGAACAACAGAGAUAUGAUGUGUACUUUGGAUAUUUCUCUCUUCACUCUCCCUUCCCUUUCAAUUCUCAAUCAACAUUCACAUCUCCACCGUUCUUAAUCAUAAUCAACCAAGAUCUUACUCACUGAAAAUGGGUUUUCUCUUCAAUGAUCAAUUUUUGCUUCUGAUCUGAUUUUCGAUCUACCUUUUAGCUCUCAAACCGGAAUUUGUUGUUGGGUUUGGUCUCUGUUCACGUUCUGGGUUCACUGCUGCUUUGCGUUUUGGGUGUGCUUGAGUUAUUUGUUACUCUCUGUGCUGCUGUGUUCAGGUAUGUUUUGGGUUUCAUGGAUUCUGAGCAGGAGAAUUCUCAAUCAAAGCUUAUUGUAAAAAUGGGUUUUAAAGAUGAAUCUUUUGAUGAUGACUAUUGGUGUGUUUGUUGAAGCUGUAGAAAGCAAAGAAAACCACAUUUUGUGUGAAGCUGUCUUUUUUAGCUUCUAUAUUUUUACUUUAAAGUUGCCUUGGAUCGUGAGAAAUGGCAUUUAAUCGCUGUUCCAACAGCCUAUAUGUUCAUGAAAUCAUAAAAGCUUAUUGUAAAAAUUGGUUUUGAAGAGAAAUUGAUGAAAGAAUAUGAAAAAAAAUGGGUUUUAAGUUAGAUGCCGAAUUUCUAGUUUUUGGGUUUACAAGUAAGAUGCUGGAUCUAGUUGCUGGAAUUUUCUUUUCAUUUUUUUUUCUUUCAUUUAUUUAAUUUAGUAAAGGCUUAAAUAUGCAAUCCGUUCUUGUAAUUUAGACGCGUUUUGAUUUUCGUCCCUGUAAAAAAAAAAAAUUUAAAAACAUCCCUGCAAAAAAAAUUUUGUUUCAAAAAGGUCCCUGGCCCCACUUUUUUGCUGACAUGGGAUGGCUUUGGCCACGUGGCAGUUGCUGACUGUGCAACUUUUGCCACGUGGCCCUGACGUGGCAGUCCACGUCAUUAUUUUAUUUUUUAAAAAAACUGAUUUAUUAUGUUGCAUGCCACGUGGCCAAAACCAUGCCACUUCACCUCAAUAGUGGGGUCAGGGACCUUAAAAAAAAAUUUACAGGAAUGUUUUUAAAUUUUUUUUUUUUACAGGGACGGAUUGCAUAUUUAAGCCUUAUAAUUAUGUGAUUUUUUUUUUGGGUUAAUUAUAUUUUAGGUCCCUAUAAAUAGGCGCGUUUCCAACAUUAGUCCCUACUUAAAUUUUAUUAAAUUUUUGACCCCCAAUGUUUUUUCCGUUAGCAAAAUAGGUUUUUGCUGUUAAUUGUUACUGAUUGAGCAAACGGUGAAGCACACGUGGAUGCCACAUCGGACUUUUUUUUAUUGGGUUAAAUAUGUUUUUAGUCCCUAUAAAUUGAGGCGUUUUAAGUUUAGUCCUUACUUAAUUUUAAUAGUUGUUUUAGUCGUUACAAAAAUACUAUGCACUCAGAAUUAGUCUAUGCUCAAUACAAAUUUGUUUAAUUUAUGCUUAAACGUUUUUUAACCAUUUUUUGUAGACGUGUUAAGAUUAUUAAAAGUUCCUCUGCAAAAAAUUAUCGCAAAAUUUGAUUUAUAUGUCCAGAUUUUUUACUUUUAUCUUUAACUUUUAUCGUUUUCAAAAAUUCAUAUUUAAUUCGUUUCAUGUUAAAAAAAAAAUAAAUUUUAGUAAUUGAACCUUUCAUAGUGUUCUAAAUUUGUCUCAAAAAAAUCAUUCAAAAAUUUAAGAGUUUAAGGAUAAUUAAACAAACUUUGUUUUAGCAGGGACUAAUAUUAUAAAUAAUUUUUUUUUUGUAGGGACUAAAAAACCUACUAAAACUCGUUAUGAUAGUACUUUCAUCAUGAAAAGAUAUUUUUGACUAGUAAUUAUUCUAAAAAAACUAUCAAUUCGGCAACAAAAUCAAUCAUGCCCGACAAUGCAAGAGACGUCAUCGAUAAGAUAGUGAAAAUCGUGAAUAUUUUUAGCAUUGGGAUGACAAUUCUGCCCAUUUUGUUAAGAUAAAGAAGACGUAGUUUAUUAUAACUAGUUCCUGCUAAGAAAAAAAGGAUAGCACCAAUAAUCCAUGAGAUAUUAUUUGUAAAACGGCCCCGUUGAGUCCAAUAUCACUUAUAGAACCAAUUCCUAGAAUUAUGAAACCCAUAUNUUUUUGGAUGAUGACUAAAACCACUUGUUAGAGAUUCCACAUUGAGGCUUAAAGGAAGUAAUUCAAUUAAUAGCUUAGAACUACUACUGAGGGUGAUUGAUUUCCAUAUACACACACAUUUGUAAUUGACUUUAUAACAAAACAUAAACAAUGAUUAUCAUAUGAGAACUAAUAUACUAAAAGAACAAAUGAAAUACACACUUCACUUUUGGAACAAAAGAUAUAUCCUGCUAUGCGAUUUGUUUAUGAACCUAUGGGAAGUACUAUGCAUGCUGGAGGAUUAUAUAAUCCAGAAGAAUAAUUAUUUAUAUAUAAGUUUAAAGAUACGUAUUAAGUUUAGAGAUAUAUACAAAGAAUUUCCCAUUUUUACCAUUAAACAAUAGAAUUUCCCAUUUCAGAAUCUCAACAAUAAUAAUGUGGAGUGGCUUAAACUUUCUAUUUUUUGGUCAUUGCUACUAUCUUUCUUCCAUUGAGAAUCAUGCUAUGAGUAUCCUAUAAAUUCUCUUUCUGAAAUGCUACAAUAUGAAUCUGUCAAUGUGAAAAAAAUAAAUUAAUACCGGUAAAAGAGAAACAGCUUUAACUUAUAAGAAACAAUAAUACAAUGAUUAUUAAUGAUACAUGUACACAUCUCAUAUUCCCUAACACUUAUUCAACACCCUAUUUUAUCUUUAUGAUCAAAAGUUUAUGCAUAAAAAAAAAAAAAACAACAAAAGGUUCAUAUUCAUCCAAUCGAACACACUUAAGCUUUUUUUUGCAAAAAAAAAAAAAAAAGAUAAAGAUUCAUAUAUUUCAAAUGAGGAUUUGUGCUAUUACAUAUAGUUUUUUGGCUCCCUAAUUCCAUUAUAUUGGGGAUAAAAUAUUGUGGAAUAUACAAAGAACUUAGAUAUCAAGGACUAAAGCUAAUAUUAUUUCAAAAAUAAAAAGGCUAAAACUAAUAUGCAAAAUGGAGUUAUAUAUGCCCUUCUCAAUGUCAGAGUCAUGAGUAAUCACUCUAUUUAUAGUUUGAUGGGAUAAAUCGUAGAGGAGGGAAUAUGGAUGAAUAUUAAAGACAAUACACGCUUGAAUCUGCAAUAGUGAAGAGGGACAACAUCAAUGUACGUAAUUGUAGCCCAAACCAUGUUGUCGAUGAAGAACAGUCCUAAAUUCACUAUUCCAAUUCAAAGCAAAUUAAGAAAACAAUUUGUACCUUGAACGAAAUCAAUAAUCCAUUUUAACCAUUCAAGGUCAACAAUUGAAGAUAAACCAACUAUCUUCAAAAGAAAAGGAAUUGCACAUGAAUAAAAAUGAUGAGAGAAAAUUACCUCAACGACAAAAUAUUCAAGACGAUGGCGAGGUAAACAUGAGGAGCGUAGCUGGUACAACCUUAAGAAACUGAGUGAUAGAGAAAACAGGAAAUUAAAGAUCAUCAUUGCUGCUCCUUGAGUAGGCGUUCUAGCGCCCUGCAUAAAAAGAGAAUAACAAAUUGUUACCACAUUGAUUCAAGUCCAGCACAGGAAAAAAAAACGACACUGAAGCAUUCUUACAUCCCUAACAUGAAACUCAAUGCAAAUCCUUUUGUAUUGAAGUCGUAAUUCAUUCACAAUUUUGUCAAAAUCAGUGACUGGAAUUAGAUUCAAAGGAGCUGCACAAAAAAAUACCAAUCAACUGAUUAGAACUAAAUAUAUUCAAUGAAACAUGAUUAGAUUGAUUAAACAUAAAUUUUAUGGAAAUCCAUUAAGAUUAAUUGUACCACAAAUGUAUGUGCGCCACUAUUUAUACCGGGUUCAUAGACAAAAAUGAAUUUGAAUCAUGGUGACAUGUGUACACAAUGAAUUGGGGAGUUGGAGAGAAUUCUCGUGGAAUACAAAUUCACUUGCUGCAUGGAGAGAUAUGGAAGGCCACAUUAAAUGUUUAAUGGAUCAGUGGGUAGUUGGGAGGAAUGACUGAAAUUAAUGCAAGCUUGGGAGGGAAAAUGAAACGUCCUCUUAACAACGGUUGAGAUUUACUUGGGUGGUUGGUAGUUUAGCUUAGCAAUUAAUAUGGGAUUAGGAGGGAAAUUAGGGAGAGAUUAGGGCAAAGAUGGCAGCAUGGCAAGACUGGCGUUUAUAAUAAAGGAUUACUUAAUUUAAUAUCCUUAACGAGACUGCUGUUCUUGAUCUCUCCCUCUUCUCACACUACUACUUUUGCCCCACAUGUCCUCUGAAAUGUCCCACUCCCCCACUUCCCAACAUAAAACCUCCUUCUCCAAGCAACUCAACGGUGUUGCUCCCUUAUUCCCCUAUCUGGACCCUUUUUCCUAAAAGGUCAUAUUUUUGCUGAGAUGCCAAAAAGGUUCCUCCAUCCUAACCUUUUGUACCAGUGAUCUGACAUUCUGCCCUUUUGUCCUCUAUCUCCUAGGUUUCAUCUAGUAAUUUAAAGGGAAUUCAAACAUUGUACAAAAAACAAAAGAGAAUUCAAAUAAAUUAAAAACAUUUACCAAUGAGAUGAACAACAGAGAUAUGAUGUGUACUUUGGAUAUUUCUCUCUUCACUCUCCCUUCCCUUUCAAUUCUCAAUCAACAUUCACAUCUCCACCGUUCUUAAUCAUAAUCAACCAAGAUCUUACUCACUGAAAAUGGGUUUUCUCUUCAAUGAUCAAUUUUUGCUUCUGAUCUGAUUUUCGAUCUACCUUUUAGCUCUCAAACCGGAAUUUGUUGUUGGGUUUGGUCUCUGUUCACGUUCUGGGUUCACUGCUGCUUUGCGUUUUGGGUGUGCUUGAGUUAUUUGUUACUCUCUGUGCUGCUGUGUUCAGGUAUGUUUUGGGUUUCAUGGAUUCUGAGCAGGAGAAUUCUCAAUCAAAGCUUAUUGUAAAAAUGGGUUUUAAAGAUGAAUCUUUUGAUGAUGACUAUUGGUGUGUUUGUUGAAGCUGUAGAAAGCAAAGAAAACCACAUUUUGUGUGAAGCUGUCUUUUUUAGCUUCUAUAUUUUUACUUUAAAGUUGCCUUGGAUCGUGAGAAAUGGCAUUUAAUCGCUGUUCCAACAGCCUAUAUGUUCAUGAAAUCAUAAAAGCUUAUUGUAAAAAUUGGUUUUGAAGAGAAAUUGAUGAAAGAAUAUGAAAAAAAAUGGGUUUUAAGUUAGAUGCCGAAUUUCUAGUUUUUGGGUUUACAAGUAAGAUGCUGGAUCUAGUUGCUGGAAUUUUCUUUUCAUUUUUUUUUCUUUCAUUUAUUUAAUUUAGUAAAGGCUUAAAUAUGCAAUCCGUUCUUGUAAUUUAGACGCGUUUUGAUUUUCGUCCCUGUAAAAAAAAAAAAUUUAAAAACAUCCCUGCAAAAAAAAUUUUGUUUCAAAAAGGUCCCUGGCCCCACUUUUUUGCUGACAUGGGAUGGCUUUGGCCACGUGGCAGUUGCUGACUGUGCAACUUUUGCCACGUGGCCCUGACGUGGCAGUCCACGUCAUUAUUUUAUUUUUUAAAAAAACUGAUUUAUUAUGUUGCAUGCCACGUGGCCAAAACCAUGCCACUUCACCUCAAUAGUGGGGUCAGGGACCUUAAAAAAAAAUUUACAGGAAUGUUUUUAAAUUUUUUUUUUUUACAGGGACGGAUUGCAUAUUUAAGCCUUAUAAUUAUGUGAUUUUUUUUUUGGGUUAAUUAUAUUUUAGGUCCCUAUAAAUAGGCGCGUUUCCAACAUUAGUCCCUACUUAAAUUUUAUUAAAUUUUUGACCCCCAAUGUUUUUUCCGUUAGCAAAAUAGGUUUUUGCUGUUAAUUGUUACUGAUUGAGCAAACGGUGAAGCACACGUGGAUGCCACAUCGGACUUUUUUUUAUUGGGUUAAAUAUGUUUUUAGUCCCUAUAAAUUGAGGCGUUUUAAGUUUAGUCCUUACUUAAUUUUAAUAGUUGUUUUAGUCGUUACAAAAAUACUAUGCACUCAGAAUUAGUCUAUGCUCAAUACAAAUUUGUUUAAUUUAUGCUUAAACGUUUUUUAACCAUUUUUUGUAGACGUGUUAAGAUUAUUAAAAGUUCCUCUGCAAAAAAUUAUCGCAAAAUUUGAUUUAUAUGUCCAGAUUUUUUACUUUUAUCUUUAACUUUUAUCGUUUUCAAAAAUUCAUAUUUAAUUCGUUUCAUGUUAAAAAAAAAAUAAAUUUUAGUAAUUGAACCUUUCAUAGUGUUCUAAAUUUGUCUCAAAAAAAUCAUUCAAAAAUUUAAGAGUUUAAGGAUAAUUAAACAAACUUUGUUUUAGCAGGGACUAAUAUUAUAAAUAAUUUUUUUUUUGUAGGGACUAAAAAACCUACUAAAACUCGUUAUGAUAGUACUUUCAUCAUGAAAAGAUAUUUUUGACUAGUAAUUAUUCUAAAAAAACUAUCAAUUCGGCAACAAAAUCAAUCAUGCCCGACAAUGCAAGAGACGUCAUCGAUAAGAUAGUGAAAAUCGUGAAUAUUUUUAGCAUUGGGAUGACAAUUCUGCCCAUUUUGUUAAGAUAAAGAAGACGUAGUUUAUUAUAACUAGUUCCUGCUAAGAAAAAAAGGAUAGCACCAAUAAUCCAUGAGAUAUUAUUUGUAAAACGGCCCCGUUGAGUCCAAUAUCACUUAUAGAACCAAUUCCUAGAAUUAUGAAACCCAUAUAAGAUACCGAAGAAUAAGCUAUUCUUUUUUUUAAAUUACGUUGACCAAAAGAUGUUGAAUCGGCAUAUACUAUUUGAAUAGAACCUAAUAUCAUUAACUAGUGGCAAAAUAUUGAAUAAGUGUGGGAAAAAAAUUCCAUAUUAAUUUGAACCAACCCAUAUGCUUCCAUUUCAUGCAAAACUAGUGACAGUAUACAAGAGUUUAAGCAUAAAUUGAACAAAUUUCAAUUGAGCAGGGACCAAUACUGAGUGCAUAGUAUUUUUGUAAGGACUAAAACAACUAUUAAAAAGGUCAUAUGUGUCAUCCAUGUGUGCUUCACCGUUUGCUUAAUCAACAACCAUUAACAGCGAGGACCUAUUUUGCUAACGAAAAAAACGUUGGAGACCAAUAAUUUAAUAAAAUUUAAGUAGGGACUAAUGUUAGAAACGCGCCUAUUUAUAACAACCUAAAACAAUUAACCCUUUUUUUUUUUUUACUUAAUAUUGUCUCGUUUUUUAUUUGUUGUUCUUUUCUUCUUCGAAGGGAAUUUUUGUUUUGUUUGUUUUAUACCUUAUUAAUUAAUCCUUUCCAAAGUACAAUCUUUUAAAGUUUGUUGUUGAUUUCACAGUUUCUUUUGCUAUGGCUGACGACAAUCCUCAGAAAUUUACUGAUCUACCUUUGUCUCCGGUUACUUUUGGUGUUCGGGAUAAAUUUCCAACUAUAAGUAGGACUCUGGUUAAAUUUCAAGCUGCAAGAAUGACUUCGGUUUGUUAUAAGAUAGUUUAUAUGAUAAAUGAUAAUGUAUUAAUCAAACUUUAUUUUAGAUAAAAUCGCAUAUCAUAUAAGUGUUUAUGUAUAACAAAAAAGAUAAUAUACUAUGCAAAUCAUUUUUUUAAAAGUUGUAACAAGCAGACCCUCAAGUUAAAACACUUGUAUAAUUUGUAAACAGCUUUCAUAAGAGCUUAUAGGAAUACUGGUGGCACAUUAGAAAUAGAAUUAACCACUUCGUUAUCAAUGUAGAUUCAAGCAAAGGCAAUUCCACUACUUUUGAGGGGAGAUGAUCUUGCUGCUUAUUCAAGUAAUGGUUCUGGGAAAACUCUUGCAUACUUAAUUCCAGCUUUGGACCAUUUGUGCAAAAACAAAUAUGAACCUGAUGAUGGAAUUAUUGUGAUGGUCUUGUGCCCAAAUACUAUGGUUGCUAUACAGGUAAUAUAUUUUUCUAAUUAACGGAUUUUCCAAUUAAUUGAGAUACAAAAGAAAAUUUUAGCUUAUAUGAGAAACUGUUACAUAUCUAGAAUCUAUGCUAGAGUAGUUAGAGAUAGUUGAGGGAAUCUGAGAGUACUCAAAUUGUGAUUUUCAUUAACUGAAUUAAUUGAGUCGGUUACAACUAUGAACAAUCUAUCUAUAGAUUGUCUCAUAGCCAGUUUCCCGAUGACUGCUGUCUCAGUCAGUUAGUUACAAGUUGUUAUGGUCAAUUAGAGACCGUUACUAGGCUAAGCUAGGGUGAGGAAAGAUGCACCACAUGCUCUCUUUGAGCUUUGCAGGUUAUUCCUUUGAUAGAAACUGUUAGUUAAAAGUCUCAUUGUUAUCACAAGAUUCUUUAAUUAUUUAUUUUUUCACCAGUCUUGGUUAUAAUUUUAACCAAACAAACUUACAGGUUUCUAAUAAAUUGAGAUGAGGAAGAUAAUUUCAACUUCUAUGAGAAACUGUUUUUUGAAAAACUCAUAUUAUUGUUUGUUUUGUAGUUUAUCCGAACUGGUUCUUUUAUUUUCUUCGCCUAAUAAACUACCUAUUUUUUUUGUUCUCUCUAUCUUUUGUGGUUUAUUUUUCAUGUUUGAUGUCCACAGAUUUUAUAAUCUAACUCUUCUUAUCUGCUGAUUGUCCAUUGCUUUAAGAUUGAUAGAGAUAUCAAGACAAUUUUAAAAGAUUCUCCUCAAACUCUUCAAACUAUUGGACGUUUAAUUGCAUCACCAGGAGAUAGAUAUGUAAGGAAAAACUUAUUGAUAGCUACACCUGCUGGGCUUCGUUAUCAUCAUGCAUAUGAUCCUGAAAGAAUCAAAUAUGAUAAGCUAAAGGUAUAUUAUGUGUUUUUCAUACAAUUCUUUUUCUUUUUCUUUUUGAUAGUUUAAAUUUAGGGUGAAGGGGCAUAUUUCUCUAUUUCGCAUCACUGAAACGUUGACAUUGAAUUUUGUCAGUUCCUCAUUUUUGAUGACCCAUACUUGAUUUUGAGAUUCUCCGAUCAGAAAAAAUGGAAUUGGGUUAGGUCAAAUUUCCCGAAGGUAUCUAUCUAUAGUUUUCCCUCUUUAUCCUCUCUCUAACUGUCAUGCACGAGCCUGUGAAAUUAUAAUGGUGGUGUCUUCAAAUUGCUAAUUGAUGUCUGUGGGCUUGGCUAAUUGAUCUAUUACCCAUUCAACAGGAACAACUCCAGAUAGCUAUAUUUUCAGUUACAAAAUUGAAGGUUUGUUCUUCAUUUUCCAUCUUCCAUCAAGUUCUUUCGCCUAAAUUUUAUUUUAUCUUAAUCUAAUUUCACUUUUUAAUAAUUUUCAUACAAGUUUCUUUGUUUACACUCUACUUGUAAUUGAGACUAGAGUUCUCAUUUCAAUUUUGUUUCCUUUAGAAUUCGAUACUUGAUAGUGUGUGUUUACUUCCUGUUAAGAAUAGAGGAUUUCUCAUUCACAAUUUUUGGUUCUGAACAUCUCCCCCCCCAAAAUACAGCGUGAAUGUCUUCUUCGCCUGCUGCCAGAAGGGAGGAGACCUGGUGAUUUUUCUGUUAUUGAUGAAGUCCAAAACCGACAAUGGGUAAUGUGUCCGCAUAAAUUACCAGUCUUUAAACUUUUUUCAUCCGCAUUAGAAUUAUACCUGAGAGGAAACUUAUAAAUGCAGGUAACCAAUGAUAGAUUGGAACAAGAAUUUAUUCUUGUUCCAUGCGCCAAGCGGCUGAUUACUCUCUAUAUCAUGUUGAAGACCACUAAAUCUAAAAAAGUGAUGGUUUUUUUCUCUACAACUGAGAGUGUCAAAUUCCAUGAAGAACUUUUCACCUUCCUUGAUGUAAAGUGUUAUGGUGUUCAUGGUGAUCAAACCGUAUCCGAACAUUCAAAAAUAUAUUAUUCCUUCAGCAACGCAGAAGAGAUGAUCUUGUUGUGUACUAAUAUCGCUGCUUUUGGACUAAACAUACCUGAUGUGGUAUAUUCAUCUUUCCUAUCAACUUAAAUGAAUAUUUUGUUUGAAAAAUAUGACCCAUUUCUACUAGAUUUAUAAGGUCUCCCCCAAUAGAGUAUGAAAUCGGCUAAUCUAUUCUCUGGAUAUUAAUUGACCAAACCCCUCGAACAAUUAUUUAUGUUGUAGGACUUGAUUGUGCAGUACGAUCCGCCGAUUGAUCCAGAGGUACUACCUUUUCUUAGCACUCUUAUCUAUUGAUAUACAAUAUAAUACUAUAUGUUUUAUUUUUCUACCAGGAAUAUAUCCACAAGGUUGGUAGAACAGCUCGUGGGACAAGGAAAGGCAAUGCUCUACUUUUUUUGAUGCCUCACGAAUUGAGAUUUAUUAGCUUCAUGAAGGUCAGUUUCUCCCUCUAACAGUAGAGGAUAUUGAGGGCUAUUUAAAAACUAUAUUUCCUUUCAACCCUUCAGGGCUAUUUAAAGACUUCAUAAGAAUAACCAAAGUAACAAACAACUCUGUCCCCUAUUUUUGCAAUAAAAUGUAUUCUUGUCUCAUCGAAAAUCAUACAUUUUAUAUUUUUCUGCACUUCAGACACAUAAAGUCCUUAUCAGAGAGCAUAUGUUUGACGAAAAGAUGGCUCCAAAUGUAGGAUCUUAUCUGGUAUACUCCUUCUCCCUUGCGUUUUAAUAAAUUUUAUAAUUUAUUAUAGUAAUCAACUGCAAUUUAUGCGCUGUGUAGUUGAGAUUGGUUGCCGAGACUGAAGAGUUGAUGGAAAUGGCUACAAAAGCAUACAUUGAAUACAUAUCCGCAUACAAUUUGAUUACCAUGAGGGAUAUAUUUGGUAUCCAUCUUCUCGAUAAAGAGGUACAACUCUUAGUAUAUUAUAUUUUAUAAUUAUUUCUUAAAUAUGCAUGUUGAUGAAAUAUAUAGUCUAAAUUAAUCUUAUGCGUUUAAGCACUUAUGCCUAAUUUAAAUCACCUGUUACUUGAAAUUUUUGAUGUUUUUUCUUUUUGAUCAAAAGCUUUAACGAUAGGUGCAAAUGGAAUGGUUGAUUGGUAAAUAUAAAUUACUGAACAAAAUUAAUCUAAGUGGCAACAUAUAGAUUUAAGGAGGUUUUUAUGUUUGAAUUCCUAGUAAAAAGGUAACAUUAUUGUUUUUUCCCACCCUCAAUUCAAAGAUGCAACAUAAGCUUUCUAACUUAUUCUUGAAACUUCAAUUGUGAAGUACGUAAAUAGUGUCAUAAUACCAAUUUAUAUACUUUGAGCAGGCUGUGGCUGCUUCAUUCUGUCUUUGGAAUCCUGUUACCGAAGCAAUUUGAUAUUACCGAAGCUUGCCUUUGCGUGUUUUGUUGCAUCUGACUGUGGUUUGUGUAAGGCUUUUGCAAACUUUGCGAUAUCACUUCUCUCUAUCUCUCAAGCUGUAGAAUAGUAGCAGUGUCCAAGAAAACUUUUCCUUUUUUCUAUUAUCUGUGGCCUUAAUUUAGUGGAUAUGGGCGGAAAUGUAUUAUUCUUUAAAGAAUUGAAAUGGUGUGUGGAAUUGUUCAUGAUGGUCAAGCUCACUUUUAACCAUUAGAUAGGUCUGUUUAUUAUAGAUUAAAAAAAUGAUUUUAACCUUUAUUUUUAAAAAUUAUGUUUAUUCCAACUUGGAAAAAAAAGAAUGAUAAAAGCUAUUUCAAACUCAUUUGCUCUAAAUUUAAAAAGUAGUUUUGAUCUCUCAAAAAAAAAAAGAAGUAGUUUUGAUAUUUAGUAACUUAUUUAUUUAUUAUUAGAGGUUAACAAAUAAAAAGUCCAUAGUUUUAAGUAGGGAUGAGCAAACCCGGAUGAACCCGAUACCAUUUUACACAUUCGGUUUGGGUUAAAAAGGGUCACAGGUCGAUUGGUGAAUAUUACGAGUUAUUAUGGAUACAUUCGGUUCGGAUGAUUAUUUUGGAUCCGUCAGAACCCGACCAACCGACAUUAUUGUUAAUAAUUUUAAUUUAAUGGUAGUUAACUGCAACUGGAUCAUCAUCUCCAGUGGUAGUUAACUAUUUCUAUGUUGCAUUUCAGAAGAAUAAGAAAUGGUAGACAAAUGAAUCAAUGAAAACGAGUUUAAAGAUGCAAUACCUGUUUCUUGACGCCAAAUGUGUGUAGAAUCCUUCUACAAAGAUUUGGAACCUAGAUUUGGGGGAAAAUUUUUGAAAUUGGGGAUUUUUUUUUUUUUUAGGGUGGUGUAAGGUGGUGAAUGAAUAGGAGAGGUAGGGUGGUGUGGAUUGUACUGGUUUUGGGGGGGAAAUCGCAGCGGUAGUUAAUUACCGUCGUGCUCAGCGGUAGUUAACUUAUGCUAGUUCCAUGUGUUUUUAGGAACCUAAAGAUGUGAGAAAAACAUUUUUCAAUAUGUUUUCAAUCCCUACAGAAUCAUGAGUUUUUAAGUUUAGUCCCUGUAAAAUUUUAAUGGUAAUUUUAGUCUUCAAAAUAUUGUAGUUUGUAAAAAUAGUCCCUAUCAUUUAUCUAAAAAAUAGUCCCUAUUUUGAAAACUUUUAACAAAAAUUGGAUAUUUUUAGUCAUCCAAAAUAGUCUCUGUAAAAUGCAAAUAGGAACUAAAAGUGAAUACAAUUUUUAUAAGGACUAAACUUGAAAACUUGUAAUUUUAUAGGGACUAAAAACGUGUUUAACCCCUUUUUUAGGCGUAGUUGACCAAUAGUUAGAUUUUAUUUUUUUUUUUUUUUUUUGAGCAAAGACAAAAUUAGUGCAUUUCAUUUAGAAAUAAAGAGUACAUAGUAGAUGGUACAUCAUUAAAAACAUAGGGACUAGGGUGAGAUAAGGAUGCUCUAGCAAUACUAUGAGCAACCUUAUUAGCUUGCCUCUUAACAAACGACACUGUAAAGUCGUUAAUAGUAGAUAAAAGGAUUUGACAUUGAGAGACUAGAUCUCCAAACUCAGUAUUAGGAACAAUAGAUGAUGAAAGGGAAUCUGCAAGUAAUUUACAAUCUGUUUCAAACCAAACAGAGUGAAAUCCAUUUGAAAUAGCCAUUUUGAUAGCUUCGAGUAAGGCGAUGGUUUCAGCUUCUAGGGACGAGGCAUAUAAGUGAAUGUAACCUGAUUUACCCAAUACAUGUUGUCCCAAAUGGUUCCUGAAGCACAUUCCAUAUCCUAUGGUAGAGUUGUUUUCAAACAUGGCAGCAUCCGUGUUGCAUUUAAUCGUACCAAACCGCGGUUUCACCCAAGAGGGAGUAAGCACUUGAUUUUGCACUUGGAGCUUUGCUCUUUGCAUACAACUCCAUUCUUGUAAGGAGCCAUUAGCGCGGGAGAUGAUGUAAGCGGAAGUAGAUUCUGAUGCUUCCCAUAACUUUGUGUUGCGACUUUUCCAAAUGCUCCACAAGAGCAUUGCGGCUAGGGGCUGUUGGUGGAGCAGCAACCUGUCAAAAAAAUCAAACAGAGUGUUUGUGAAAUUAUCUACUGUUAGAAGUAGAUCACGGACCAGGUUUCCCAUUCCAAUAUUCUCCCAACAUUCCAUGGCCUUGGAACAAACAAAGAAUGUGUGCAUGUGAGUUUCUGCCAACAAAUCACAAGAGACACAUGAUUCACUACAUGGAACGCCGCGUGUAAUGAGAUUCACUCGUGUAGGAAGACAUUGGUGAGCAAGACGCCAGAGAAAUGAGCGCACUCGAGGAGGAACUUUGAGAUUCCAAAGAGCCAUCCAUUUAUGGUUGUCAUGGGAGGUUAUGGAAGCAUGCAAGAGAUCAAUACAUAUACGGUAGGCAGAUUUAACUGAAUAAGAGCCAUCUACCGAGGUCUUCCAAAUACGAAUAUCCUCACUUUGGGUGGAAUAUAGUGGUAUUGCAAGGAUGGAUGCAGCAUCCGAAGGAUUAAAUAAGAUUUUAUUGUUUUGACAACAAAAUAAUAGAUAUUUACAAAUAAGAGAAUAAUUUACAAAAAUUUAUAAUGUGGAAUAUUUUCUGAAUCAAAAUAGAUAAACUAGCUUGGAGACUAAAUGAAUUUUUGGAAAAUUGAGUUUUCUAAAAUUCUAAAAACCUCAAAGUUUCGAGUUAUCAAGGAUUAAAAAGUUUUUUAGUAAAAAUAAAAAAAAAGUUAUCGAAAACUACAUCAUAUAGUCUUUUUAAGUUAUUUAAUUAUAUUAGGUUAAUAUUUAAUUAUUUUUAGCAUCAGGUUAAUUUUUUUGAAGCAAAUCAUAAAUUGUUAGACCAUAAAAAGUUUGACUUUAAUCAUAAAGACGCUGUAAUUCACAUAAAAAAUAAUUUGAUUAACAACAUAAACUCUUGUGAUACAUAAGUUUUUUAACAACGACAAUAAGUAUUCAACUUGAAGGCUUUAGAUUACAAUAUGCAUCAAGGGUGCGUUUGAUUUGAUAAAGAAUGAAGGACAUGAUAGAACAAUUUCAGUUGUCCAGUGUUUGAUUUGUAAAAUAGUUUCAGGGACAUGACAAAUUGAAGGCAAAGGACAGAACAAAAACUGCAAUUUUUGUCCCUCGCCAAACCACAGCACAACUUUUUGUCCUACGUAUAAGUUUUCUAAAAUACAAAAAUAGCAUUUCGUCACCCAAAAAUCAUAUAAUACAGAAAAUUAUUCAAUACCAUAAAAAUUUGUUUUGUGCUGUUCUGCCUUAUAUUGUGUUGUCCUAUCUUGUAUUGUUAUGUCCAAUAGUCACUUGUGUAUAGAAAUCGAGUAUUAUAUGAAAAGUUCUAUAGUAACUUAAUUGUGAGUACUCAAAACAUUGUUAAGGCUGUCCCUAUAGAGUCUAUAGAUGUCACAUAGCCUAAUAGAACAGAAAAUGCUUGAAGGUGAAGAAAUUAAUGGGAAUGAGAGAAAGGGAAUGGAAAGAAUCAAAUGAGAAAAUUACACAUGGCUAUGGAAGUAUGCAACAAUUCUUUCUUAGUUCUUUUGCACAAAAAGAGGCUAAUUUACUUGCAUUUCAAGCAUAUGAUAUGCUUUAGUUUAUUUCACUCAUACCGUCUUAUUAAAGAGAGAGCAUCAACACAGGUAACUAGAAUCCCACUUUUCCUUUCUUUUUCACAAGAAUUAGGGUAAGUAAUUGACAAUUAAAACUUAUGCACUAUAGUAUGCACAAAUGUACUAACACACUACUAACAUGGUGCAACAUAUUGUGAUAUAUUAGGGUCUAUUAAACAUUUGAUUAAGGGUUUUAUUCGAUUUAGUGUAUGAAAAAUGUUUUUUGAGAAUAGAUAUCAAUUAUUUCAUAGAAUUAAUCUUUGCAUUUGUAUGUUAAAAGAAUGUUGUCUUAAAAGUUGUGAUAAAAUAAUUGUAUAAAUAUCAUUACUAUUAAUUUAAUUUAACAACAGUCCAUAUCAAAACAUAAAAAAUCAAAUUUCUUCUAUUAAUUUUGCCAAGCAAUAAUGAGUAAAUGUGUCCAAAAAAACAAUAAUGAGUAACCUUAUUCUAGAAGCAGUAUCAGUUACUAGAAAUGAUUAAUGCUUAGUAGCAGUAGUAACCGUAGUUAUAUACAAUUAUACAAAGGAGCUCUCACAUGCUUAAUGCUUCAAGCAAGAAAAAUACACACACACACACACCUAGUCACCUAUAAAAUCAACAAUUGCAUAAGAAAUUCUCUUCACUAGCAACAAUUCACACCUCAUCUUCAAUGAAGAGCCUUCUCCUCCUUUUAGCUUCUCUUCUUAUAUGCAACACAACAAUUGCAGAUCAAAUUACUAAGGUACAUAUUACACUUUAUUUAUGUCUUACCAUUUUAUUUUGUUAUAUGAUAGAGUCACCAAAUUAUAGUUUCUGUCAUUAAUUUUAUGUAGCCUUAUGUCGUUUAUAUGGGAAACAACAUUAAUGGUGAAGAUGACCAAAUACCAGAAUCAGUUCAUAUUGAGUUACUAUCAUCAAUCAUUCCAAGGUUACUCACCAUCAAUUUGUUUAUUAUUUUUUUAUAUAUACUAUCAAUUUUUAUCUAUAAAUCAUAAUCAAUAUUUAAAUAAAUUGAACUUAUGGAAUGAAAAUGAUCUUUUUUUUUUUUUUUCUCAGUGAAGAAAGUGAGAGGAUAAAACUUAUUCACCAUUACAAUCAUGCUUUUAGUGGAUUUUCUGCAAUGCUUACACAGAGUGAAGCUUCUGCAUUGUCUGGUAUUUGAUCUUCUCUACCAUAGUUUCUCUUUCCAUUUUGUCUCUUUUUGAUAGUUCCUAAUUUCCACGUUAAUUUCUUUGACUUUUCCUACUAUACUAUUUUGCUGAGAAGGCAAUAUUGUCAUUUUGCUUUAACACCUUCAAAAUAAUUUAUAGAGAAAUGAUAUUUGAACAACCAUUUUAUGACAACUUUCUCUUUAAACUACCCUUACUACAUUCUUUAGCAAUGUGAAACUUUUUUUAUGUAUCGAAACUCUACAUAGCCCCUAAGUCAGGGGCCAAAGGGCUUGUCAGUCCUCGAAUGUGUUAUAGAUUCAACCUCUAUUUGGUGCACCAAUGUUCCAACUUUAAAUCGACAACACUACAUUUCUGAAUCACUGUCUGCUUUUGAUCUUGUGUCGGCCCUCAUAGUUUUGUCUUAUGUAAAAGAGGUAUGAUUGUUGUUUAUAAACUACGUCAAUUUUCAAAUAAUAUGAGAUUUUUUAUAUAAACACAUAACAAAGACAAAAGAGUGUCACUUUCAUUAUAUUGAUUCUUUGCUUGAAGCAAAGUCUGUCUAGAUUAGUAAUUAAUAAAGAGAUUGAAAGUGAAUUAUUAUGUCUAUAUUAUCUAUAGUUAUUUUGCCCAAAAAAACUUUAUUUACCAACCUUAAUUAUGUUCACAAAGAUGUAAAGGACAAGCGAUCAACAUCAUUUGUCAAAAAAUAAAUAAAUAUUUACACAUUAAUUAAAGGACAAAGAUGUAUAGGGUGCACUUUAAUCAACAAAAAUAUUUAAAGAAACACUCAAGGUCGAACCGUUUAAUCAUAUUAAAGAAAUAUUUACACAUUAAUUGUGAGUAAUUAGGUUUUACUUUACACAUUAUUUAUGUACUACUUCGGUAUCAAAUAUAAGAAGAAGAAAAAAUUAAAGAAAGUUGAUGUAUAUUCGGUAAAAUUUAAACUUGGUAUAUCUAUCUACUUUGUUUGACGAAAAACAUUCUUUUCAAUACGUGGUUGAAAUCAUGCACAUCUCAUUGUUUUAAAAUUUGAUCCCUUUCAAUCAUAUGGAUCUCGCAAAAAUUUAAUCACAGCACAUGAUAUAAAUUUCAAUCAAUAGAAUAGUGUAUAUUAUUUGUCUGAAUCCCCUAUAAAGAAUUGUAAUAUAUAUAUAUAUAUAUAUCCAAGCCAUGGGUCAAGAUUCUCUCCAUGGAAAUUACAAUGGAGAGAUUCCAGUAAAUAUUUCCAAUGUUCAAUGCCUCCUAAAUUACUUUUACCAGAUGAGAUGAGAUAAGAUAGAGAUAAAUAAGUGAAGAUAUUUUUUUAUGGAACAUUUUCCCUUAUCCAUGGAGAGUUAUAUUAAUUUGAUGAAAGUGAUGUUAUUGUCUCCUUUUGAGGUAACUAAUAGUUUGUGAUUGGUAAACAGGCCACGAUGGUGUGGUGUCAGUGUUCCCAGAUCCAAUACUUGAAUUGCAUACAACGAGGUCUUGGGAUUUCUUAGAUUCAGAUUUGGGAAUGAAGCCUUCUACCAAUGUUCUCACUCACCAACAUUCAUCAAAUGAUAUAAUCAUUGCUCUCAUUGACACCGGUAAGUCAUAAACAAAAUAAUAAAUAUUUAUUGGGUCACACAAACAAGUGCGACAUAAGUGAAUUGUUCAAGAAACCCACGAAAAGAAAUUUUGUUUUAAAAUUACAAAUCAAAUACACCUUUGAUCAUUAUUAUAUGUAAAAAAUUAAUUUUUAGAUUCAUUGAAUUAAUAAUAUAUGUUAUUAUUAAUAUAGAUCACAUACAUUAUUUAUUCGAUAAACUUAAAAAAUUGUAUUUUGUUUAUAAUAGACCACGUUUUUUUUUUUUUUUGAAGAAACUAAAAUGAGAUAUAUUACCACAAUAAGGCCUUCCUAGCACAAGGUGUACAAAGGAAUAAAAGCCUUAACAAAAAUACAAAGUAUGAAAAUUACAAGAAGCACCAAAAAACAAGCACCACACAACUAGCCACCAAAAACAACCGUUAACCUAUGCCAAGUAAAGUGAAUGGACUAAGCCACCACCUAUGAUAGUUAAAAAGAAGAUGAACAAACUUCACCUUCAACCACUGGAAAGUUAACAACUUAAUCCUAUCCACCACCUGAUUAAUAGAGCUCACUUUGGCAUUAAAAAUCCUAUUAUUCCGUUCCUUCCAAAUCUCCCACAUAGUCGCGUACCAGAUCACCUGAAGGAUAGAUUGCUUCGUCUUAGAGACACCGCAUAAAUAAAUGAACUGCUUAAAAUGCCUUUGAAUGUUAUGAGGCACGACAGUAACUAUACCAAUCCAUUGAAAAAUAGCACCCCAAACCGAACCAAAAAAAUUACAAUGAAUAAACAAAUGAUUUUAAUUAGUAAUAACAAAAACUUAAAUGGUAAUAGCAAAUAAGAGGAGGGAUACACAUGAAAAACAAAUUUGAUAAGAGAAAUAGACCCAAAACAAAUAGUUUUAUCAUGUGAAAUAGAUUUGUCAUAACAUACUACACCUUUUUUUGGAUACUCACUACUGUUCACUCCCUAUUGACGGUUGGAGCGUCAACAUCAUCUCUACUAAUGUUGCUCUAUGGGGUCUCUCAUGUUACUUAACACCCCAAAAAAAGUCGACCAACAGAUAGUUUACGAUAGAAAAAGAAUCCAAUCGAGACAUAUUUUAUGUCACUCUCCUAAAAAAGUUGAUCGACAGAUAUUUUUCGAUGGAAAAAGAAUCCGAUCGAAACAUAUUUUCUAAUAAAUUUGUUCCAUCGAAAGAUAUGCAAUCAAAGGGUUUUUUAGUAAACAUGAGAGAUUUACGGAUCAAUUUCCCAUCUCUAUAGUGUAAAUAGAAACUCAUUGGCAAUGUGGCCUACAACCGGCUGUUAUGAUUGUCACCCCACAUGAUUUUUCAUUUUGAGAGAAAACAAAUACCUCAACUGGUAACUACUCGACUUCCAUAGCACUUUAUGCCAACUGAAUCCUUUACAAGCAUUAUUGGCAUAUUACAUCACCUUGGUUCCCUUAGUUUGAGAAGUAAGAAUUUUUUAUUCAUUAAAAGAAGUGAGUAUUUCUUUACUUUUAAAAAAUAUAAGACACAUGAUCCGAGGCUGGCUUCUUAAAUUAGGUGUUUCUCUAGAGAUGAUAUCAUGAGUUUGGAAAGUGAAAAUAAUUAAAGAACAGGUUUAGGUGCAUUUAAAUUCCAUCAUUGUCUCUUGUCCUUCCUUUUCAUUUCUCCAUUUUAACAAAGUGAAGAUUGUACCCCAAAAACAAAAGUGAUGUGAUAAAUAACUACUCACUACGCUUUCAAUAAUAUCAAUCCAGUAGUGAAUAUUGAUUAUCAUGCAGUUAAUAUGUGAAAAUGUAGUAAUUCCUUUUUAUGGCGUUUAUGAAAGUCAUGAAAUAACAAUUGGGUUGAAACAAUUAAGAAUCUUUUCAAGCUACUUUUCUGGCUUUUGUCCUUCAGCUACUUGUACUACUAAAGAUGCAAUUAUGUGGCCAUUUUAACAUUCUCAAUCCAUCACACUCUUCCUAUCUUACACUACUUCAAUCAUAACUUCUAGUCCAUCAUGUUACUCCUAUCCCAUUGCUUACAUAGAAAUACAAAAUAAGUGAUACUGGGGAAGGGUGGCAUGGCAGGUUAAGAAGUUAAUGAAAGAGAAAACAAAGCUAAUAGUAAAAUCAACAAAAAGUCCUAAAAUUGAUAAAGCUUGUUAGGCAUCUGAUGUCAUGUGUGUACACCACAUCUGCUCACACAUAGAAUAUGUGACAAAAUUAGAGUCUAAAUGUAAAUAUGUAUGCAGCUGUAUCAGUGUUCUUCUUACUUUAGUGUAAAAUCAUCCUUAAUUUUUCAUAGUAUAAUAUAAAAUAUGAUCAACAAGACCUUACUUGAUUUUUCCUGUUACAUAUUGUGAACAAUUUGUUUGAAUAUUAUUCAAUUAUAUAAUACCUAUCUCUGUUCUGCACCAAGGGAUAUGGCCAGAGUCACCAAGUUUCACAGAUGAGGGUAUAGGGAAAAUUCCUUCAAGAUGGAAAGGAAUUUGCAUGGAGGGUCAUGAUUUCAAGAAAUCAAAUUGCAACAGGUGAUUAUCUGUUUUCUUACAAAUGUAUGUUAUAAGAAUGAAAAACAUUCAAAGAUUGGAAAUGUCAAAUAAAAUAUAUUCAUCAUAAAGUACAGAUUAUAUGCUACAUUUGAAUUCUCUUAAAAAAUAAAUACAGGAAAUUGAUAGGUGCAAGAUACUAUAAUACACAAGAUACAUUUGGUAGCAACAAGACUCAUAUUGGAGGAGCCAAAGGUUCACCAAGAGAUACUGUUGGACAUGGAACUCACACUGCAUCAACAGCAGCUGGUGUCAAUGUUAAUAAUGCAAAUUAUUAUGGUUUAGCAAAAGGAACAGCAAGAGGUGGUUCACCUUCAACUAGGAUUGCCGCCUAUAAAACAUGUUCAGAAGAAGGUUGUUCAGGUUCCACCAUACUAAAGGCUAUGGAUGAUGCUAUCAAGGAUGGAGUAGAUAUAAUCUCAAUAUCUAUUGGACUUAGCUCACUGAUGCAAUCAGAUUAUUUGAAUGAUCCAAUAGCCAUUGGAGCAUUUCAUGCCGAACAAAGGGGGGUCACGGUUGUGUGUUCAGCUGGGAAUGAUGGUCCUGAUCCUAACACAGUUGUCAACACAGCACCAUGGAUAUUUACAGUUGCAGCUUCUAAUAUUGAUAGGAACUUUCAGUCAACUAUUGUCCUUGGAAAUGGAAAAAGUUUCCAAGUAAGUUUCUUGAUCUCAAGUGCUUCCAAGCCAAAAGAAAUAUCGCAGAGCUAACUAUCUAUGAAGCAUAGACACUAGACGCAAUAAUGACUAGACAUGUCGAUUCGGAAAUUUAAGAAAAUAAUGUCCGUGUCAGCAUCUGAUACGUCUGUGUCUGACGUAUUGUUGCUACAUAGCUAACUGCGGUAUCUUUUUCAUGUUCUAAAAAGAAAAUCAAUUUUCUCUUUGUUUGUGUUGUCAGGGUGCUGGCAUUAACUUCUCAAACCUUACACGCUCAACGAUGCAUUCUCUUGUCUUUGGAGAGGAAGUUGCUGCUGAAUUCGCGCCAACAUCAGAAGCUAGGUACCUUGUUAUUCAUCAUUUUCUCUUGGUAUCGAAUUUCAUUAGGCCAAUUCAAAUGACAUUCAAUAAAAUUUAAUAGUUUUGAUACUACCUAGUAUGUGUAUUAAGCAACAUACUAUGUUGUGAUUACACACAUAUAUAAGGAGUUCUGAUACUAGUUAACAACAACUGUUGGGCAUUGAAAAUCCCAACGUAAGAAAAGUAUACUAAAUAGCAGGAACUGCAGGAACUGUUAUCCGGGAUCACUAGAUUAUAACAAAAUAGCAGGCAGAAUAGUUGUCUGUGUUGACGAUGAUCCGAAUAUUUCAAGGAAAAUCAAGAAGCUAGUGGUACAAGAUGCAAGGGCCAUGGGGAUGAUAUUCGUCAGUGAGAACAACAAAGAUGUUUCCUUUGAUGCGGGUGCAUUUCCCUUCACAGAGAUUGGAAAUCUUGAAGGGCAUCAGAUCUUUCAGUACAUAAACUCUACCAAGUAAGCAUUAUCAAUAUUUACAUAAACUCUACCAAGUAUGAAGUUAGUCUAACAAUGACAGUAAAUGAAAAAUGCAUUGACAAUUUUUAGGUUGCAGUCAAAAUUGCAGAAACAAUUACACCGUGGUUAUUGAAAUGACACAAAAUUGUGGACAAAUGCAGUCAGGAUGUAGUUGCGUGGACCUGGAUUAUCCAGUUAAUGACUGGCAUUUGUUAAUGCGUGUAACUGCGUCUUUUUUCAAAUGUAGGGAAUCCAGAUCUGUAGUUGCAAAGAGCCAGACACUUCCAAACCUACACUUUCUUGGACCAAAAUUUAAACUAUUUGAAUGCUAAAUGCCACUUUAUUUCAUAGUGGCUAUCUAAGCAGUUGUAUUUGAAGAAAAAUAAUAAUAAAAUAAAUUAAUUUAUAAAAAGUAACAUUUUAUGUUUGACUUGGUUGGAAAAAGUAAAAAAAAUUAUAUACUAGCUAUAUGCUCUCAGUCUGUCAUUUUUCUGUUACAGGAAACCAACUGCAACAAUUCUUCCAACAAUAGAAAUUCCUAGAUAUAGGCCUGCACCAAUUGUGGCAUCAUUCUCAUCUAGAGGCCCUUCAAGCCUAACAGAAAACAUUCUCAAGGUAAUUUUCUACUAUGUGUUCCAUCAUGCAUUUCAUUUAUUUAUCCAUGUAUCAAGAAUUACAUAAGGAUCUUAAGAACAGUGAACUAACUAUUUUUGCUAAUCUAUUGUCAAGCCUGAUGUCAUGGCUCCAGGAGUUGCCAUUUUGGCUGCCAUGAUUCCCAAUAGUGAUGAGCCAGGAAGUGUUCCAAUUGGGAAAAAGGCAUCCUUAUUUGGCAUAAAAUCUGGUACAUCUAUGGCUUGCCCACAUGUGACUGGAGCUGCAGCAUUCAUCAAAUCAAUACAUGGAAGAUGGACUCCUUCCAUGAUCAAAUCAGCAUUAAUGACAACAGGUACUCAAAGACGAAAACCUUUUUCUAAUCUUUUAAUUAAUGUAGCACCAAGACUUCAGAUUGAAAACAUGUAUGGUGUCCCACAUGUGUCAAUAUCCGGCGCUGACACAUAUGUUUACAUUCAUUUACUUCUAUUUUCUCAAUUUUUAUUAUUGGUGUCAACAUGUCAGUGUCGUGUCAGAUAUGUGUUUGUGUCAAUGUUUCAUAUACUUAUAUUGUUUUGUUGUUGUGUAAUUCUUCAGCUACAACCUACAAUAACAUGAGGAAGCCAGUGACCAAUAGCUCAAAUUACUUUGCCAACCCACAUGAAAUGGGAGUUGGAGAAAUUAAUCCACUCAAAGCUCUCAACCCUGGAUUAGUCUUUGAAACAAAUCUAGAAGACUACGUCAGAUUCCUUUGUUAUUACGGCUAUUCAAAUAAAAUCAUAAGGUCCGUGUGUAAGAGCAAUGUCACUUGCCCAAGGACCUCUCCAGACCUUAUAUCAAACAUCAACUACCCAUCAAUCUCCAUAGGAACACUAAAAAGGAAUCAGAAUACAAAAGUGAUCACAAGAACAGUUACUAAUGUGGGAACAUUUAAUGCCACAUAUGUUGCAAAGGUGCAUGCACCUGAAGGAUUGGUUGUUAAGGUCAUACCCAAUAAACUUGUGUUUUCAGAGAGUGUUCAAAGAAUUACCUAUAAAGUCUCAUUCUCAGGAAACAAGGCUCGCGGUGGAUACAAUUUUGGGUCGCUAACAUGGCUUGAUGGUCGACAUUACGUUCGUACACUAUUUGCAGUCAAAGUUGAAUAAAUUUUUUCACACGCACAUACAUAUUCAA